rnacentral:miRNA from 1 species
AAGUGAUCUAAAGGCCUACAC